UUAGACAUGCAAGUCGAACGGUUUUCGAAUGUAGCAAUACAUUCGAAAGGCAGUGGCGAACGGAUGCGUAACACGUGAACAAUCUACCUUUUAGUGUGGAAUAGCUCGCCGAAAGGCGAAUUAAUACCGCAUGUGAUUGCCUCUCUCAUGAGAGACAUAUUAAAGUCGGGGACCGCAAGGCCUGACGCUAGAAGAGGAGUUCGCGGCCUAUCAGCUAGUUGGCGAGGUAACGGCUCACCAAUGCUAAGACGGGUAGCUGGUCUGAGAGGAUGACCAGUCACACUGGAACUGAGACACGGCCCAGACUCCUACGGGAGGCAGCAGUGGGGAAUUUUGGACAAUGGGCGAAAGCCUGAUCCAGCAAUGCCGCGUGCAGGAAGAAGGCCUUCG
rnacentral:rRNA from 1 species